rnacentral:tRNA from 1 species
GAGGGCGUUGGCAAGAGGUUUAAGCCGCUUCCCUUUCAAGGAAGAGAUCGAGGGUUCGAAUCCCUCCGCCCUUACCA